rnacentral:lncRNA from 1 species
UAUGAUUUGUCUUGCUUGACUUUUAUUAAAUCGAGAAUUUGGAAGGACAUGUCUUCGUAUGCAGGUAAGGAUGGCCGGAUCCUGUGGCAUCCACCUACAUGAGUCUCUCUCUCUCUCUCUCUCUCUUCUCUCUCUGGGAAAUUCUCAUGUGAGUCCCCUUUUCAGUCAUGUUUGAGUUGAUAAAUACAGGUGCUCAAGAGGUUAUGUAGCCUUCUCUUCAUUUUUCCAGAAUAAAACAGGUUAUGUAGUCUUCUGGUAGUUAUUUUAGAGGGGCUUUGUUUAGUUAGAUGUUGAUGACUAAUUUUAGCCUAGUCAUAGCCUUUGCUAUAUAGAUUCUGAACUGCAAAUGGUGAUGAUGGCCCUUUUUCUGAUUUAUCAGGUGGUUGAAGAAGCUACCUAAUUUGAUUGUGUGAUCCCAUCUUCUAGACUUUAUGGUGCCGUGCUUCCUUUUGUUUUUCAAUGGCGUCUGGUUCCUGGGAUAUCAAUUGAUCUUUAUUAUUGUAGGACUUUCCUAUUUCCUCUCAAUAUAGAUCUCCU